rnacentral:rRNA from 1 species
AGCCAUGCAUGUCUAAGUACAAACUUUUACACGGUGAAACCGCGAAUGGCUCAUUAAAUCAGUUAUGGUUUAUUAGAUGGUGCUAUCCUACUUGGAUAACUGUGGUAAUUCUAGAGCUAAUACAUGCUACAAAGCUCCGACCCUCGUUGGAAAGAGCGCUUUUAUUAGAUCAAGACCAACCGGUUUCGCCUUCGGGUGUUGCCGUCGGAUUGAUGACUCUGGAUAACCUUUGCCGAUCGUAUGGCCCCGCGCCGACGACGCAUCUUUCAAAUGUCUGCCCUAUCAACUUUCGUUGGUAGGUGAUUUGCCUACCAAGGUGUUUACGGGUAACGGGGGAUCAGGGUUCGAUCCCGGAGAGGGAGCAUGAGAAACGGCUACCACAUCCAAGGAAGGCAGCAGGCGCGCAAAUUACCCACUCUUGGCACGAGGAGGUAGUGACGAAAAAUAACAAUACGGGACUCUUUCGAGGCCCCGUAAUUGGAAUGAGUACACUCUAAACCCGUUAACGAGGAUCUAUUGGAGGGCAAGUCUGGUGCCAGCAGCCGCGGUAAUUCCAGCUCCAAUAGCGUAUAUUAAAGCUGUUGCAGUUAAAAAGCUCGUAGUCGGAUUUCGGGCGGCGGCCAAUGGUUCGGUUCCGUGCCGAUACUGCUGGUCGCGGCCUCCACGCCGGUCGUCUUUCGGUGCUCUUAGUUGAGUGCCUUAAGUAGCCGGAGCGUUUACUUUGAAAAAAUUAGAGUGUUCAAGGCAGGCCACAAGCCUGAAUGAUGGUGCAUGGAAUAAUGGAAUAGGACCUCGGUUCUAUUUUGUUGGUCUUCGGAACUGGAGGUAAUGAUUAAUAGGGACGGACGGGGGCAUUCGUAUUGCGGCGUUAGAGGUGAAAUUCUUGGAUCGUCGCAAGACGGACUACUGCGAAAGCAUUUGCCAAGAAUGUUUUCAUUGAUCAAGAGCGAAAGUCAGAGGAUCGAAGACGAUCAGAUACCGUCCUAGUUCUGACCAUAAACGAUGCCGACUAGCGAUCCGGCUCCGUUGCUUCAUAAGACUGGCCGGGCAGCUCCCGGGAAACCAAAGUCUAUGGGUUCCGGGGGAAGUAUGGUUGCAAAGCUGAAACUUAAAGGAAUUGACGGAAGGGCACCACCAGGAGUGGAGCCUGCGGCUUAAUUUGACUCAACACGGGAAAACUCACCCGGCCCGGACACCGUAAGGAUUGACAGAUUGAAAGCUCUUUCUUGAUUCGGUGGGUGGUGGUGCAUGGCCGUUCUUAGUUGGUGGAGCGAUUUGUCUGGUUAAUUCCGAUAACGAA